GAUUCUGGCUGGGAAAUCAACCAGACAUUAAUGAAUGACUGGGAAUAGGGUAUACAAUCAGACGUCAUCGGACGAAUGAGAAAAACACAACGUUUAUCGAAACCAACGGGGAGGUAAAUCCACUUGGGGAAGGGUACAACUAGACGUCAUAGGACGAAUAGGAAAAACUCGACGUUUAUCGACACCAACGGAGAGGAGAAAAC
rnacentral:lncRNA from 1 species